UACAUUAUCCACCGGCUGUAGGACCACACCACCUCUCAAGUUGUUUGCCAGCUCACUAAGUUACCAUGGAUGAAGAAUAUGAUGUGAUCGUCCUUGGGACAGGACUCAAGGAAUGUAUCUUGAGUGGAAUGAUGUCAGUGAGUGGAAAGAAAGUCUUGCACAUUGACAGGAACAAGUAUUAUGGAGGAGACAUUGCCUCUAUCACCCCACUGGAAGAUUUUUUCUCCAUGUAUGGAAUGAAAAUGCCAGAGGACAUGUUUGGGAGAGGAAGAGACUGGAAUGUUGAUUUAAUUCCUAAGUUCCUAAUGGCCAAUGGUCAGUUGGUGAAGCUGCUGAUAUACACAGGUGUGACACGUUACCUGGAGUUCAAGUGUCUGGAGGGAAGCUAUGUGUGUAAGGGAGGAAAGGUCUACAAAAUGCCUGCCGAUGAAAAGGAGGCUCUUACUACAAGUCUUAUGGGCAUUUUUGAAAAGAGACGAUUCAGAAAACUGAUGAUCUUCAUCAUGGAGUUUAACUUGGAGGACCCUAAAACCUGGCAUGGAAUUGAUCCUAAACAGAACACUGCAGAAGACCUGUAUAGUAAAUUUGGUGUGGAUAAGAAUACAAUUGAUGUAACAGGGCAUGCUUUGGCUCUUCAUCUUAAUGAUGAGUAAGUCUUCAGAGCUUCAAGUAUUUUUUAAUACAAAUUCAGUUGGAUUGAACUUAUAUAUUUGUUUACAAGUUACAACAAAUAUAUUUGGCACAAGAAGACUUAAAAACUUAUAGUGCCUUCUCCAGUAUAAUUAUUGAUAACGAAAAGUACUGUUCAAUAUUAAGCACAGUGAUAUCAAAGGUCAUUCCUUGUAUUUCAUUGAUUGAAAUUUUAUUAAGAGGUAUAAGUGGACUAAUGUUAUUUUGAUAUUAAAUGGCAUAAUAUAUGUGUAGCAUGUCAAAAUAAAAAAAUAUAUUAAAUAAUUUAGAAACAACAUGCAGUGUAGAGAUCCAGAUUAGACACAAUAAUGAUGAUUGUCUGAACUUUGUAGGUACCUGAAACAACCCUGUCUAGAGUUCAUCCUGAGGGUAAAGCUGUACCAGGAUUCUAUACAGAGAUAUGGAAAAUCCCCUUUCCUGUACCCUCUUUAUGGACUAGGAGAACUUCCUCAGGGCUUUGCUAGGUUGAGUGCAAUAUACGGAGGGACCUACAUGUUGGACCGCCCUGAUGCCACAGUUGUUUAUGAAGACGGUAAAGUUGUAGGAGUGAAGGCACAGGGAGAGACUGCCAAGUGCAAAAAGGUCAUCUGUGAUCCAUCUUAUUCAAAGGAUAAAUGCAAACAUGCUGGAAAGGUAUGUUACAUCACACUAUAAAGAACAGUUUUCUUUCAUGAUUAUGAUUU
rnacentral:misc_RNA from 1 species